rnacentral:rRNA from 1 species
CACGUAGGGGCCAAGCGUUGUCCGGAUUUAUUGGGCGUAAAGAGCUCGUAGGCGGUGUGUCACGUCGGCCGUGAAAACCUGCAGCUUAACUGUGGGCGUGCGGUCGAUACGGGCAUCACUGGAGUUCGGCAGGGGAGACUGGAAUUCCUGGUGUAGCGGUGAAAUGCGCAGAUAUCAGGAGGAACACCGGUGGCGAAGGCGGGUCUCUGGGCCGAUACUGACGCUGAGGAGCGAAAGCGUGGGGAGCGAACAGG